rnacentral:rRNA from 1 species
GACGAACGCUGGCGGCGUGCUUAACACAUGCCAGUCGAACGGAAAGGCCCUGCUUUUGUGGGGUGCUCGAGUGGCGAACGGGUGAGUAACACGUGAGUAACCUGCCCUUGACUUUGGGAUGACUUCAGGAAACUGGGGCUAAUACCGGAUAGGAGCUCCUGCUGCAUGGUGGGGGUUGGAAAGUUUCGGCGGUUGGGGAUGGACUCGCGGCUUAUCAGCUUGUUGGUGGGGUAGUGGCUUACCAAGGCUUUGACGGGUAGCCGGCCUGAGAGGGUGACCGGCCACAUUGGGACUGAGAUACGGCCCAGACUCCUACGGGAGGCAGCAGUGGGGAAUAUUGCACAAUGGGCGGAAGCCUGAUGCAGCAACGCCGCGUGCGGGAUGACGGCCUUCGGGUUGUAAACCGCUUUCGCCUGUGACGAAGCGUGAGUGACGGUAAUGGGUAAAGAAGCACCGGCUAACUACGUG